UACGUAGGGUGCGAGCGUUGCCCGGAUUUAUUGGGCGUAAAGGGCGCGUAGGCGGCCACCGCAAGUCAGUUGUGAAAUCUCUGGGCUUAACCCAGAAAGGUCAACUGAUACUGCGGGGCUAGAGUGCAGAAGGGGCAACUGGAAUUCUCGGUGUAGCGGUGAAAUGCGUAGAUAUCGAGAGGAACACCUGCGGCGAAGGCGGGUUGCUGGGCUGACACUGACGCUGAAGCGCGAAAGCUAGGGGAGCGAACGGG
rnacentral:rRNA from 1 species